UACAGAGGUCCCGAGCGUUGUUCGGAUUCACUGGGCGUAAAGGGUGCGUAGGUGGCCAUGAAAGUCUGAUGUGAAAUCUCCGGGCUCAACCCGGAAAAUGCAUUGGAUACUAUGUGGCUUGAGGUUUGGAGGGGGGACUGGAAUUCUCGGUGUAGCAGUGAAAUGCGUAGAUAUCGAGAGGAACACCAGUGGCGAAGGCGGGUCCCUGGACAACACCUGACACUGAGGCACGAAAGCUAGGGGAGCAAACAGGAUUAGAAACCCCCGUAGUCC
rnacentral:rRNA from 1 species